rnacentral:lncRNA from 1 species
AGGGCGCGGCGACUCCACGCUAAGCGUGGAAAUGACAAAGGGAACCUUCCUUCCUCAGAGGCAGGAAAGCGAGGCUGGCCCAGGGCCCUUACACCCCUGGAUCUGCGCCUGCCACCCAGCAGCCAACAGCCAUCACGGUGGAAGUAAAGCCACUGCCGACGUCCAAGCCUUUUACAAGUCACCGAUGCACUGUCUUGCUCUUGCUUCCAUGAGUGUUCAUGGAGUGCCUACUGCGUGCGGUGCUGGGCACAGGGCACAAGAUGGAGCAGAGUCAGACCCAGCGCCCAGUGGGGACCCCGAGGCCGUGCACAAGCUCCCGCCUGCUGACCCUGAGCUGUGCAGCAGACCCUGGCAGAGGCUUCCAUCUCCAAGACGACUUCUCCCCUGA